UGCAGUCGAGCGAGUGAACUAACUGAUCCCUUCGGGGUGACGUUAGUGGAUCUAGCGGCGGACGGGUGAGUAACACGUGGGCAACCUGCCUGUAAGACUGGGAUAACUCGCGGAAACGUGAGCUAAUACCGGAUAAUACUUUGAACUGCAUAGUUCGAAGAUAAAAGGCGGCUUCGGCUGUCACUUACAGAUGGGCCCGCGGCGCAUUAGCUAGUUGGUGAGGUAACGGCUCACCAAGGCAACGAUGCGUAGCCGACCUGAGAGGGUGAUCGGCCACACUGGGACUGAGACACGGCCCAGACUCCUACGGGAGGCAGCAGUAGGGAAUCUUCCGCAAUGGACGAAAGUCUGACGGAGCAACGCCGCGUGAGUGAUGAAGGUUUUCGGAUUGUAAAACUCUGUUGUUAGGGAAGAACAAGUGCUAGAGUAACUGCUAGCGCCUUGACGGUACCUAACCAGAAAGCCCCCGGCUAACUACGUGCCAGCAGCCGCGGUAAUACGUAGGGGGGCAAGCGUUGUCCGGAAUUAUUGGGCGUAAAGCGCGCGCAGGCGGUCCUUUAAGUCUGAUGUGAAAGCCCACGGCUUAACCGUGGAGGGUCAUUGGAAACUGGAGGACUUGAGUGCAGAAGAGGAGAGUGGAAUUCCACGUGUAGCGGUGAAAUGCGUAGAGAUGUGGAGGAACACCAGUGGCGAAGGCGACUCUCUGGUCUGUAACUGACGCUGAGGCGCGAAAGCGUGGGGAGCGAACAGGAUUAGAUACCCUGGUAGUCCACGCCGUAAACGAUGAGUGCUAGGUGUUAGGGGGUUUCCGCCCCUUAGUGCUGAAGUUAACGCAUUAAGCACUCCGCCUGGGGAGUACGGCCGCAAGGCUGAAACUCAAAAGAAUUGACGGGGGCCCGCACAAGCGGUGGAGCAUGUGGUUUAAUUCGAAGCAACGCGAAGAACCUUACCAGGUCUUGACAUCCUCUGACCACCCUAGAGAUAGGGAUUUCCCUUCGGGGACAGAGUGACAGGUGGUGCAUGGUUGUCGUCAGCUCGUGUCGUGAGAUGUUGGGUUAAGUCCCGCAACGAGCGCAACCCUUGAUCUUAGUUGCCAGCAUUAAGUUGGGCACUCUAAGGUGACUGCCGGUGACAAACCGGAGGAAGGUGGGGAUGACGUCAAAUCAUCAUGCCCCUUAUGACCUGGGCUACACACGUGCUACAAUGGAUGGUACAAAGGGCAGCGAAACCGCGAGGUGAAGCAAAUCCCAUAAAACCAUUCUCAGUUCGGAUUGCAGGCUGCAACUCGCCUGCAUGAAGCCGGAAUCGCU
rnacentral:rRNA from 1 species